rnacentral:misc_RNA from 1 species
GAUGAAGAACGCAGCGAAAUGCGAUAAGUAAUGCGAAUUGCAGAAUUCAGUGAGUCAUCGAAUCUUUGAACGCACAUUGCGCCCCCUGGUAUUCCGGGGGGCAUGCCUGUUCGAGCGUCAUUUCACCACUCAAGCCUCGCUUGGUAUUGGGCGACGCGGUCCGCCGCGCGCCUCAAAUCGACCGGCUGGGUCUUCCGUCCCCUCAGCGUUGUGGAAACUAUUCGCUAAAGGGUGCCGCGGGAGGUCACGCCGCAAAACAACCCCAUUUCUAAGGUUGACCUCGGAUCAGGUAGGGAUACCCGCUGAACUUAAGCAUAUCAAUAAGCGGAGGA